UGGUCUAGCGUGAGUGACACCUGCAUCUGUAACUUACCCAUUGGAUGUUCUUCGAAAUCACCUGACAACACAGAAAACCACUAGGUAUUACAAGGGCAUCUUUCACACGUUGUCUACAAUUUGUAGAGAAGAGAAUAGUAGAGGAUUGUAUAAAGGCCUUUGGUCCACCUUAUUGUAUCAUUUUUUGUCAAGAAACUGAGAAGACGGAAGAGAGUUGGUGUUGUCAGUGUGGUGAGCCUAUGCGGCAACCACAAGGCUGAAGUCUGCUUUGAUCGUUAUUCAAGAUUUGAGCCUUGGCUCCAGUUUUGGUAGCUCUAUAUCAACUUUCAGCGAGUUUUUGUUCUCGGACUUGGGAUCCACAGUCCAAAGUUGAUUGGUGGAUCAAGUGAACUUGGUGCAUCUCCAUUCAAGCUGGAGUACAAUUACCGGCCUGCUUGUUUAGCGCAGUCUCCACAAUCAUACAAGCAAAUGAGCAGCUGGCGACCCAACACACAAAGUUUCUAUCUUCUUAUUUUCUAUACAAGUAGUAGCUGGCGCAGCGGUGGUGUUGAUGAACGACACCCAAUGCAGAGGCGACAGUUACCAUAGGGAAGAGGUCAAGAACAUCUAGCUCUUGUGGUGUUCCUCCUCAUUAUUGUCAUCGCCAUCAACAGCAACAAUGACGACCGGCUCAUGAGACAGCUACUAGAGAGGGAGCGAGGAAGGGGGAGACAAAUCUUUCAGGUACAAUGGUAUGACAACCAUGUUCUGAACUAUCAAUGAGAUUUGGUGCUAAGUCAGCAUCGUGUUUUAUCCAAUCUAUCAAACACCAUAAGUUUCAUGUCGAAUGUGUUGUAGAAAUGUUCUUCCAUAAAUAUGGUUUUAGUCCUUCA